rnacentral:lncRNA from 1 species
AAACUCGCUCACAGUCACAAAAGAAAAGUGGAACAACAAAGAAGGGGUCGGGGAGAAGCAUUAAACUUUGUUUUCCCCCCAUAGAAUUUGAGUCACUAUUACUCCUUCAGAGUGAAGCUACUACAUACGGAAUGAUACAAUAUUGCGGCUGUGUGGGGAUAGGGGUCACCCAGAAUACUCCCCAGCCCGAUGCGGGGCCCAGAAGCACCCCGGAAAGCAAGAACGGUGGAUGUAGAUGUUAAACUGAAAUCAAGUCUCCUUUACCCUAGAGCAGAAUCGGGAGCCUACCGUUGCAAUGAACCUACAAUUACCGCGUUUCGUCGAUGAACACUCAGCCAAGACGAAAGGUUAUUUAGGGACAGGUUGACUUUAACACACAAGCCAAUCAGACCCACUUUGUGCCUAAAUCUAUAUUCACAGGUUUAGGGGCUGGGAUUUUUGAAGCACCCAGAGUUAGCGUUAAGCGUUCGGUCACCCCUGAAAAUUUUAUCUUCAGGCCCAGAGCCUGCAAUCGGCUCUUUGGGGGCAGUGACCAGCUCUUCAUUCUGUGUUUGUACAGCCCCUAGCACCAUGGGGUCCUGGUCCAUGCCUGCAGCCCCCUACCUAGGCACGAGCACAGUACAAUUAACGAUCCUUACCUCUUAUCUAGCACUUUUCAGCCUAGAUUUCACAGCACUUUACAGGUGGGGAAACUGAGGCACAGCACAACAUGACUUGCUCAGGGUCACCCAGCAGGCCAGUAGCAGAGCCAGGAAUAGAACCCCGGGUGCCCAACUCCCAAUUUGGUGCUCUACCCACUAGCCACAGACUUCAAGAGGCACAAAGCUCCAUCCGUAUGGAUCCGAUUGCAGGUUGGGGGCCUUUGCAACUACACAUUUUGAUGAAGGCAGCCUGGACUUGACAGUCCUUCCCCUGCAUUGACCAUCCCCUCACCAGCUGAAGAGACACCCCGCAGCCUAAACACUACGUUGUUUCAGAUCCUUCCCCCUCCCAGUGUAAACGGGGGUUGUUUUACAAUCCCUCUGCUGUUCUGCAAAAGUUUUCUGUCUCUGCCGCGCAAGAGACCCACAUGGGGAAAACGAGGGCCCCGCUCCUGCAAUUGGACCUAUGGGGAUGGAUCCGGGUCGAGCCACAUGAGCUCCGUGCAGGAUCAGGGCCUGAUUGGAUGUUUUUCUAAAAACUCUGCUCUGGGAAUUAUUUCGGGGCCGUUCUAUGGCCUGUGCCAUGCAGGAGGUCAGACUAGAGAUCCCAGCGGUGCCUUCUGGCUUUAGAAUCUACCCCUAGGAGAGGAACGGAGCAAGGGACCCUAGAGUGGUCAAUUGCUGAGAGUAAAACAAAGUGGAACCUGCCCUUCCUGCAACCUCUUUCACAAUUGUAUUAUCUUGGUGGUUAACGAUAGCAUGUUUUCAGGCAGGAAAGUGAUGCUGUCUCUUUUGGGGGUGGGGGGCUAUUUCCCAAGGAGGUAGAGUAAAGGGGGGGGGGGAGUUUCCUUUCCUCUGGGGAGGAGAGACACCAUUUGGCGACUGAUUCCCCAGCCUCCUGUGCUGCAGGUGGUGAAUUAAACCCAGCAAAAAGCGAGUGCGGCUCACACAAUAGCCCCGAGAAUCAGAGCAGCAAACAAUACAGACCUCUCCCCACAAUCCUCCCUUUCCAAGGGGUGUGAAGAAACUAUCACCCUCACCAAAGAUCAAGUCAGUUUCCUCUAGGACUAUUUACAUUGUUGGUACCUGGCCCAGGGCCCAGGAGGAAGACAAGAUUUAUGAAAGCAAGCCAAGAAAAAGCCCUUCUUGUGUAAGGAGCAAAUUCCCACCCCCAGGGCUUGCCGGGGCCCUGUAAAGUACCUUUCACCGUGUGCUGGUUUGUUGCUUCUUUAGGAUGGAUCAAUGGAGGAAUCUUUAUCUAGGAUCAGUAAGGGAAGGUGAGCAGCUCUCUCCUCUGUUACUUGUUUUAUUACACACAUCAGGUCUGGCCUUUCCAGGGGCGUAUGGUGGGAAUGCUCACUGCAGCCGGGAAGGAAACACUUUCCCCAUCAUGUGAAAACGGUCAUAUCAAAAAAUCCCGCCCUCCCUACCCAUCCCAA